rnacentral:rRNA from 1 species
GUGGGGAAUCUUCCACAAUGGACGAAAGUCUGAUGGAGCAACGCCGCGUGAGUGAAGAAGGGUUUCGGCUCGUAAAGCUCUGUUGUCGGGGACGAAUGUGCAGUAUUUGAAUAAAGUAGUGCAAUGACGGUACCUGACGAGGAAGCCACGGCUAACUACGUGCCAGCAGCCGCGGUAAUACGUAGGUGGCAAGCGUUGUCCGGAAUUAUUGGGCGUAAAGGGAGCGCAGGCGGGAAGGUAAGUCGGUCUUAAAAGUGCGGGGCUCAACCCCGUGAUGGGAUCGAAACUAUCUUUCUUGAGUGCAGGAGAGGAAAGUGGAAUUCCUAGUGUAGCGGUGAAAUGCGUAGAUAUUAGGAAGAACACCAGUGGCGAAGGCGACUUUCUGGACGAAAACUGACGCUGAGGCGCGAAAGCCAGGGGAGCGAACGGGAUUAGAAACCCGGGUAGUCC